UUCCAGACUCCUACGGGAGGCAGCAGUGGGGAAUAUUGGGCAAUGGGCGCAAGCCUGACCCAGCAACGCCGCGUGAAGGAAGAAGGCUUUCGGGUUGUAAACUUCUUUUGUCAGGGACGAAGCAAGUGACGGUACCUGACGAAUAAGCCACGGCUAACUACGUGCCAGCAGCCGCGGUAAUACGUAGGUGGCAAGUGUUGUCCGGAUUUACUGGGUGUAAAGGGCGUGCAGCCGGAGAGACAAGUCAGAUGUGAAAUCCACGGGCUCAACCCGUGAACUGCAUUUGAAACUGUUUCCCUUGAGUGUCGGAGGGGUAAUCGGAAUUCCUUGUGUAGCGGUGAAAUGCGUAGAUAUAAGGAAGAACACCAGUGGCGAAGGCGGAUUACUGGACGAUAACUGACGGUGAGGCGCGAAAGCGUGGGGAGCAAACAGGAUUAGAUACCCGCGUAAAC
rnacentral:rRNA from 1 species